rnacentral:sRNA from 1 species
GGGGAAGGCGGAGCUUAGACGAGCAGAGAGGCGGGGCUCAAAGUUCCUACCCGCGAGAGGGAAGAAGCAGCUUCCACACUAGCAUAUUUACCUGUCUGUCUCCAGUGCCAAGCUCAGCCCCCAGCACCUGUAGAUACACAAUAGAUGUCUGCUGAGAGGUGCUCUGGUGAAACAAGUAUAAAAUGAAUGUCAGGAUGUUCUCCCUCAUGGUGGGCAUCUUCUCUGUCCUUAAUACCACCCAGUUCUUCAUCUUUGACCUGAACCAGAAGACACACAUUUGCUGUGAGGCCAAGUUCAGCAUCUACGUGGACUCAAAGUCGGAGCUAGUCACUUGGACCCUGUUCCACAGGGCUAAUAUCAGCACUGGCCUCUCCCUCACCACCAUCAUCAUCAGCUGCUUCCUCCUUUAUUGUAUCCACAAGAAUAUCUACAUGGGGCUGCUGAUCUAUGCCAUGUGGAUCAUCACUUACGAGCUC